UUGACAGUCGCGGGGUAUGAAGUCCUUUAUUCAUCCACAGAGCAGGUAGCAGAAGUGGCAGUUUCUUCUGCCCUACCAGUUUUGGCUUUCUCUGACCUUGUGAUAUUACUUCCAGUGGGAGCAUUCUCCUCUAUGUCCUUACAUCAUUGCACUCU
rnacentral:sRNA from 1 species